AGGAUGAACGCUGGCGGCGUGCCUAACACAUGCAAGUCGAACGUCCUGUCUCGCAAGAGGCAGGGAGUGGCGGACGGGUGAGGAACACGUGAGGAACCUGCCCCCGAAGACCGGGAUAACACCGGGAAAACCGGUGCUAAUACCGGAUGCCCUCACCGGAUCACAAGAUGCGGUGAGGAAAUGGAUUCCGCUUCGGGAUGGUCUCGCGGCCUAUCAGCUAGUUGGUGGGGUAACGCCCACCAAGGCUUCGACGGGUAGCUGGUCUGAGAGGAUGUCCAGCCACACUGGGACUGAGACACGGCCCAGACUCCUACGGGAGGCAGCAGUAGGGAAUCUUGCGCAAUGGGCGAAAGCCUGACGCAGCGACGCCGCGUGCGGGAUGAAGGCCUUCGGGUUGUAAACCGCUUUCAGCAGGGACGAAAUUGACGGUACUGCAGAGAAGGCCCGGCAACUACGUGCCAGCAGCCGC
rnacentral:rRNA from 1 species